rnacentral:rRNA from 1 species
UACGUAGGGGGCAAGCGUUGUCCGGAUUUACUGGGCGUAAAGCGCGCGCAGGCGGCACUGUAAGUAAGGUGUGAAAUAUCCCUGCUCAACGGGGAGGGUGCACUUUAGACUGCAGAGCUAGAGGACGGUAGAGGGGGGUGGAAUUGCUGGUGUAGCGGUGAAAUGCGUAGAGAUCAGCAGGAACACCCGUGGCUAAGGCGGCCCCCUGGGCCGAACCUGACGCUGAGGCGCGAAGUCUAGGGGAGCGAACGGG